GGGGGGGGGUGGGGGGGGGGGGGGGGGGGGGGAGGCGGGCGGAGGGGCCGGGCUUGUUUGGUGUACUCGGGGGGCUGACGGGGGAUUAACACGUGAGUACCCUUCCCGUGACUUGUGAAUAAGUUGGUGUGCCGGGGGCGACUACCGUGUCGGAGGUCCUCCUGCAUUUUUAGGUUUGGACAGAGUCGGCGGUUGUGUGUGUCGUCGCUGUUUAUCAGCUGGUGGGGGGUGGAGUGUCUUACGAAGGCUUUGACGGGUAGCCGGCCUGAGAGGGUGACCGGCCAACUUGGGACUGAGAUACGGCCUAGACUCCUACGGGAGGCAGCGGUGGGGAAUAUUGCACAAUGGGCGGAAGCCUGAUGCAGCAACGCCGCGUGCGGGAUGACGGCCUUCGGGUUGUAAACCGCUUUCGCCGGUGACGAAGCGUGAGUGCCGGUAAUGGGUAAAGAAGCACCGGCUAACUACGUG
rnacentral:rRNA from 1 species